rnacentral:rRNA from 1 species
CCUACGGGAGGCAGCAGUGGGGAAUUUUGGACAAUGGGGGCAACCCUGAUCCAGCCAUGCCGCGUGAGUGAAGAAGGCCUUCGGGUUGUAAAGCUCUUUCGGCCGGGAAGAAAUCGCAUAGGCUAAUACCCUGUGUGGAUGACGGUACCGGAAUAAGAAGCACCGGCUAACUACGUGCCAGCAGCCGCGGUAAUACGUAGGGUGCGAGCGUUAAUCGGAAUUACUGGGCGUAAAGCGUGCGCAGGCGGUUUCGUAAGACAGAGGUGAAAUCCCCGGGCUCAACCUGGGAACUGCCUUUGUGACUGCGAGGCUAGAGUACGGCAGAGGGGGGUGGAAUUCCACGUGUAGCAGUGAAAUGCGUAGAGAUGUGGAGGAACACCGAUGGCGAAGGCAGCCCCCUGGGCCGAUACUGACGCUCAUGCACGAAAGCGUGGGUAG